ensembl:lncRNA
CCUAAGUUCCACUGCUAAUAUUGGCCUUGUGGUACCACAGUGAAAAGUGGACUGAAUCUGGAUUUCAUAACCUGGUUCUUCCUCUUUUCACUGAUUUGACUGUGGAUAAACUGUUUAUCUCCUCAUCUUUAAAAUCAGGAGGCUGGACUACAUGGCCCUUACAAUGCCUUUCAGUUCUCAAUUCAUGCUAGAGUAGUAGGAGACUGGAAAUUUGAGCCUUAAUCUUCUGACUCCAAGAUUGGGAUUAUUACUAAUGCUUAGGUAUGUAUGGUGAAAACUACUUUUCAUAGAUCAAUGUCAAUGCUGCUGUUUCCUGUCACUACAAUGACAGUUGCAAGUAAUGUGGUAUGCAUAGAAGGGGAGUCUGGGUUCCCUAACAUUACCAAUAAUAGCUAGCUUUCCCGGCAUUCCUGCAAUGCAUACGUCUCACACCACCAGAAUUCUUAGAAAGAACACUCAACUGGGAGAACAAAGAAAAUCAGGACAACAAUUUUCUACAAUGAGAAAAAGCACACAUUGCUAAUAUUUUUUCUGUGAGCUAGUCCAAUAGUUGUUUACCUUAAUUCAUCAGAAUCUGUCUCAUUGUCAUCAUGACUAUGGAGUAGGAUACCAGAUGAAGAAUUCACCUUUUCACAAGUCAUACUAGAAUCCUUGGAAAUCUACUUCUCAUUUUCAGACAUUUUUACAUUUUUCCUAUGCCCUAUUUUGAUUUCCUUUUCUUCAAACUUUCCAAAAGAAUAGUAAUUUCUCUGGUGCUUUACCAUGGUCUCCUCUCUCCAACUGCUAAAAGUAUACCCCAAAGAGUUAUUUUUACCGAAUGGCAAGAAAAGUUUUAAAAACCAAAAUAUUCAUAGCAAGGAUCUUUUGUAGUAGCAAAUAACUGGGAAUAGAGUAGGUGUUCACUGACUAAAGAAUGGCUAAAUAAAUUAUGGUUUGUUGAUGGAAUGGAACACUAUUAUGUAUGUUUAGAAAUAUUAAAUGGGAGGAUGAGAAUAUUUAUAUGAAUUAAUGCAAAAUGAAAUAAAAGUAACCAGGACAACAAUAUACAUUCUAACUGCAAUAAUCUAAUUGCUAAGAACAAUAAAGUAACUGCAACUGAAUACUGUGAAAUUAUAAUGUCUAAGCUUGGUCCAGAUGAGAAGGUACCACUUCCUAUUUAUUCAGAGUGGGAGACUAUCAAUAUGGGACACUGCAUGUAAUAUUGAUAUGUGAUUAGGAAUGUUUCACUAGAAGGGUGAGCAGAGAUAUAUUGGGAAAUGAGGCUGAUAAAAAAGUAAAAGAUGACAAGAAGCUUUCAAUUGUCCAUGACUUUAAUGUCUAUCACAAAUAAGUCUAAAAUGGUUACUCCCCACUAAUCAAAGGAACAGUAAAUAAUUUUCUGUCUGCAUGCAACUGAGGUCACAAUGUAUGAGUACUGUCAUUGAGCAGGAAAAGAUGCCCUUUUCAGUGUCUCUCCAAUAGGCUAUGUAUGGUUGAAAUUAAUUAUUUUAGGAUAAGUUUUUUAAGGCUGUUAAAUUAUUUUAAGUUAAAAGUAAAUCCAGGUUUGCUUUUUUUUUUUUUUUUGAAACAUUCUAGACUUUCUCAAUGUUAAUCCAGAACACUUCCACAUUACAACUCUCAUGAAUUGGAAUUUUAGAGGUCUUUUAGUAAGUACAACUGCAACAUAAAUUGUGAACCCUUUUUACCAUAUUCCUGCCUAGCAUAUCUAUCAUCCUAAGAUUUUUUAAGUGGAAAGCAGGUAACAUUUGCUACCUGCUUUUUGCUCUCAUUCUACCCAGAAACCUUAUGAGCACCAGAAGGCCUUAUAAAACAAAAGCUAUAUGAGCACUUCUCUCUACAUUUCUGUCCAUUCCCUUUUUUUUUCUGCCAUCCUGAAAGGACAUUAACCUUUCUCUCCUCGGGCCCAUCUUACAUAGCAUGAAGUUGGUAAUUAUCCUUUUAAUGAUUUGCAUGUCUACAAUUAUAAGUGUGAGUUUCUUAAGAAUCUAGGUUGUCUGACUUUCCUCAGUGCUUGGCCAUGAUAAGCACUUAAAUUGAUUCAUUCUUGAAUAUUUCUACUGAUGGGAAACUUUGUAAUGACUAAGAGAACUCAUCUACCUUUUGGAGUAGCUAAAAGCCUAUUUUCAUAUCUCAUUAGCACUUAUUAUUUAUAAAUUUGCAAACUUUUGCAAACUAUCUUGCUUUUCUCCUUGCCAUUCAUAUCUUAUACCAUAUGCUGAUCUUUUGGAUCUCAUCAAAGACUACCUACCUUCUUUCAAUAAACACUGAUGUUUCUUCCAAAAUAAAAGAAUAUACUUACAUCAAUAGAACAAUAUACAUUCAUGGGACUUCAUGAGAGUUCUCUCUCAGCAAAAAAAGCAAGUGGAUGCAGAAUGAAUAUGGAUCUAGAUUGUUAGAGUAAACUGAACAUUACCAUGAAUGUUAAUAUUUGAUAAUAAUACUCC